GUGCCUAAUACAUGCAAGUAGAACGCUGAAGAGAGGAGCUUGCUCUUCUUGGAUGAGUUGCGAACGGGUGAGUAACGCGUAGGUAACCUGCCUUGUAGCGGGGGAUAACUAUUGGAAACGAUAGCUAAUACCGCAUAACAAUGGAUGACACAUGUCAUUUAUUUGAAAGGGGCAAAUGCUCCACUACAAGAUGGACCUGCGUUGUAUUAGCUAGUAGGUGAGGUAACGGCUCACCUAGGCGACGAUACAUAGCCGACCUGAGAGGGUGAUCGGCCACACUGGGACUGAGACACGGCCCAGACUCCUACGGGAGGCAGCAGUAGGGAAUCUUCGGCAAUGGGGGCAACCCUGACCGAGCAACGCCGCGUGAGUGAAGAAGGUUUUCGGAUCGUAAAGCUCUGUUGUAAGUCAAGAACGAGUGUGAGAGUGGAAAGUUCACACUGUGACGGUAGCUUACCAGAAAGGGACGGCUAACUACGUGCCAGCAGCCGCGGUAAUACGUAGGUCCCGAGCGUUGUCCGGAUUUAUUGGGCGUAAAGCGAGCGCAGGCGGUUUGAUAAGUCUGAAGUUAAAGGCUGUGGCUCAACCAUAGUUCGCUUUGGAAACUGUCAAACUUGAGUGCAGAAGGGGAGAGUGGAAUUCCAUGUGUAGCGGUGAAAUGCGUAGAUAUAUGGAGGAACACCGGUGGCGAAAGCGGCUCUCUGGUCUGUAACUGACGCUGAGGCUCGAAAGCGUGGGGAGCGAACAGGAUUAGAUACCCUGGUAGUCCACGCCGUAAACGAUGAGUGCUAGGUGUUGGAUCCUUUCCGGGAUUCAGUGCCGCAGCUAACGCAUUAAGCACUCCGCCUGGGGAGUACGACCGCAAGGUUGAAACUCAAAGGAAUUGACGGGGGCCCGCACAAGCGGUGGAGCAUGUGGUUUAAUUCGAAGCAACGCGAAGAACCUUACCAGGUCUUGACAUCCCGAUGCUAUUUCUAGAGAUAGAAAGUUACUUCGGUACAUCGGUGACAGGUGGUGCAUGGUUGUCGUCAGCUCGUGUCGUGAGAUGUUGGGUUAAGUCCCGCAACGAGCGCAACCCCUAUUGUUAGUUGCCAUCAUUCAGUUGGGCACUCUAGCGAGACUGCCGGUAAUAAACCGGAGGAAGGUGGGGAUGACGUCAAAUCAUCAUGCCCCUUAUGACCUGGGCUACACACGUGCUACAAUGGUUGGUACAACGAGUUGCGAGCCGGUGACGGCAAGCUAAUCUCUUAAAGCCAAUCUCAGUUCGGAUUGUAGGCUGCAACUCGCCUACAUGAAGUCGGAAUCGCUAGUAAUCGCGGAUCAGCACGCCGCGGUGAAUACGUUCCCGGGCCUUGUACACACCGCCCGUCACACCACGAGAGUUUGUAACACCCGAAGUCGGUGAGGUAACCUUUUGGAGCCAGCCGCCUAAGGUGGGAUAGAUGAUUGGGGUGAAGUCAU
rnacentral:rRNA from 1 species